AGGUAGAACAUUAGUGGAGCAGUUAAGAGUGUAUUUGACAACAUUUUGAAAUUUGAAAUACUUCUAAUCCACAGCUAUGUGAACGGAGAAUCAGCUUUCGGCAGAAUGCAGCUAUCACGUGGCCACUCUCCUCGCAGACAGUGAAUAUGGAAUCCCAGGCUGAUCAGAGUAGCUUCACGCUGGGACUCCUGCUACAUGAGUCAAAAGGUCUUACAUUUGAUUCUGAGCUCCAGCCCCCCUGGAACGCCACGCUCUUCAGGGUGGUGAGAAGAUCCUGGAUCACAGGUGGCCUUUAUGGAAGACCAGAACUAUGCUCCCUACCCUGCCCCCAGAGGCUUCAUCUCCUGGGCAGCAUGCCACCCUGCCCUCCCCAGGAGGCACAGCCAAGAGCAGCAGUAGGGGACAAUAAGCUGGACAUCUGCCCAGUCUCGGUGUUUCUGGAGAUAAGUGUGCAUGAGCCAGUGUCAGCUGUCCCUGGUCAGAACCGGCCAUCCCAUCUGCUUUCUGAUAAAACCCUUAUGCUUGAUUCUGUGUUAGCCAUAAGUCAUUUACUAACUUGUAAAAUUUUCAAGCUCAUGUAUGGUAAUUAACCAUAUGCUGCUGUUAUUCUAACCACUUACCUUCAGAGAUUUACCAUUGACAGAGUGGCCUCCCAGGCCCUGCCUGCUCUGGCCCCCGCAUAGUCCCCAGACUUGCCUGCACACCUCAGUCCCCCUCACAACCCUGUGCUCAUCCACACCGAUGAUUAUUCAAGCCUACCUCACUAGCCCUGUUUCCUGCUGCCACAGGGUCUUUGCACCUGCUGCUUCCCCUGCCUAGCACACUUUUCACUCCUCCCUUUGCCUGGUCUACUUACUUUUUAGAUCUCAACUCGAACAUCACCAAGGAUUUACACCUUCCUUGACCUCCCUCACCAAGUGAAAUGUGUUUAUACGUUCUUCCUGCACAGUGAAGCCCUCCUUACAAUGCUUGUCAUGGUUGGAAUUUUACAUUUGUAUAUGUGAUCACUCAGUUCCCCACCUGUUCCCCUAAGUACACUGUAAACUCCAUGAGGGCAAGACAUUUACUCAUCCCUGUAGCCCCAGCACCUAACAUAUCAGCUGGCACAUGAGAGGCCCUCAGUAUUAUCCAAAUAAAUGCGUGAAAGUCCCUGCUGGUUUCUUGACACCAAGUGCUUCUCUGUUGGGGUUCUCUGUAAGCUACUAACCCCUGAAAGAACCCUCAGAAGACCCUGGGAAGGGAAGGAGAGGGGGAAACCAUUGUUUGUGGAGUGUUUACCUCUGCCAGGCACCAAACAAAGGAGCUCGCCUUCUAAUCCUCACAACAAUGGUGGCGUAAGAUGUCAUUCAGUAGGUGUGUGCUCCUCGUAUGUAUAUGAGGGAGCUAAAUCAAACCAAGGAACUUGCCCAAAGUCAGACAAGUUCUAAGUGACUGAAUGUGAUCCCAGUCAGUGCUCCUGACUUUCCACCAUACGACUGGCUGGAGUCAAACCAAGAGCCUCAGGGACAAAUGUCUCCUCUCCUCCACCCCACGUUAAAAAAAUA